rnacentral:rRNA from 1 species
AUUGAACGCUGGCGGCAUGCUUUACACAUGCAAGUCGAGCGGCAGCGCGGGGCAACCUGGCGGCGAGCGGCGCACGGGUGAGUAACAUAUCGGAACGUGCCCCGUCGUGGGGAUAACAAAGCGAAAGUUGUGCUAAUACCGCAGACGACCGAAGGGUGAAAGGGGGGGAGCGGAAGCACUCUCGCGAGGGGAGCGGGCGAUAGCGGAUGAGCCAGUUGGUAGGGUAAGGGCCUACCAAGGCGACGAUCCGUAGCGGGUCUGAGAGGACGACCCGCCACACUGGAACUGAGACACGGUCCAGACUCCUACGGGAGGCAGCAGUGGGGAAUUUUGGACAAUGGGGGCAACCCUGAUCCAGCCAUUCCGCGUGAGUGAAGAAGGCCUUCGGGUUGUAAAGCUCUUUCGGCAGGAACGAAACGGCUCUUUCUAAUACUAGGGGCUAAUGACGGUACCUGAAGAAGAAGCACCGGCUAACUACGUGCCAGCAGCCGCCGUAA